UGAAGGCCAGGCUGAAGACUUUGCCGGAUUAGCUGAGAGGUGGUGCAUGGCCGUCGUCAGUUCGUACUGUGAAGCAUCCUGUUAAGUCAGGCAACGAGCGAGACCCACGCCCACAGUUGCCAGCGUACUCUCCGGAGUGACGGGUACACUGUGGGGACCGCCGCUGCUAAAGCGGAGGAAGGAAUGGGCAACGGUAGGUCAGUAUGCCCCGAAUAUCCCGGGCUACACGCGAGCUACAAUGGUUGGUACAAUGGGUAUCUACCCCGAAAGGGGACGGAAAUCUCCUAAAACCAAUCUUAGUUCGGAUUGAGGGCUGCAACUCGCCCUCAUGAAGCUGGAAUCCGUAGUAAUCGCGUUUCAACAGAACGCGGUGAAUACGUCCCUGCUCCUU
rnacentral:rRNA from 1 species